UACGUAGGGGGCAAGCGUUGUCCGGAUUUAUUGGGCGUAAAGAGCGUGUAGGCGGCCUGACAGGUCAGCUGUGAAAACUCGAGGCUCAACCUCGAGACGUCGGUUGAAACCGUAAGGCUAGAGUCCGGAAGAGGAGAGUGGAAUUCCCGGUGUAGCGGUGAAAUGCGCAGAUAUCGGGAAGAACACCCGUGGCGAAGGCGGCUCUCUGGGACGGUACUGACGCUGAGACGCGAAAGCGUGGGGAGCGAACAGG
rnacentral:rRNA from 1 species